ensembl:antisense Gm43120 predicted gene 43120
AACAUCAGAGAAGGCCCGCGGCUCGGGAUUUAGGAAAUCGUUCAUCUAGCUGGAAGUACACAAAGUUUCCAGGCCCCCACUAGAGCCAGCAUCUGAGGAACUCUGGGAACCUCAUCUACAAACUCAGGAGACGCAAAGUGGCUGGAUGGAAAUUCGGAAGCAUUGUUCGACGACUAAGACUAAUGUCUCUGGCUAAUCGAGUUAUUAUUAGCCUCGGGAGCGUGGAAACUGAACUGUCACUGCUGAAAGAGAAAAUGUAAGCGACAGCUGUCCCUCUUCAGGCUUUGGCUAGCUUUCAGGCCAGGAUCCUCAAGCUCCCGAGCCUACUGCUGCUCCCAUUCCUGUGUGGGUGGCUGCCCGACUCUUCCCCCCCACCCCCAAGCCGUGUAGGACAAGGAGUCUAGUCCUGGAUCCUAGCUGGUCCGCAGGGACACCUUCUGCAGGGCCUUAGAAAUCUGGGCUGAAAAUACUAGUUGUUGAAAAUAUUCUGAAGCCGCUAAACCGAGUUAUGAGUGUAGUGUUUGUGAGCGUGCUUACAGGAUUUUGACAACAGCUGUUCCCCCGGGCUGUUUUGCACUGUUGAAAUCUUGGCACUUAAUACAAAAUGUGAAGCUGUUUUCUCCCUCUUAGGGUUCUGUUAAAAUACACACAUUGACAUCCGCCUUGA